rnacentral:rRNA from 1 species
GACGAACGCUGGCGGCGUGCUUAACACAUGCAAGUCGAACGGAAAGGCCCUGCUUUUGUGGGGUGCUCGAGUGGCGAACGGGUGAGUAACACGUGAGUAACCUGCCCUUGACUUUGGGAUAACUUCAGGAAACUGGGGCUAAUACCGGAUAGGAGCUCCUGCUGCAUGGUGGGGGUUGGAAAGUUUCGGCGGUUGGGGAUGGACUCGCGGCUUAUCAGCUUGUUGGUGGGGUAGUGGCUUACCAAGGCUUUGACGGGUAGCCGGCCUGAGAGGGUGACCGGGCCAAUGUGGACUGGGAAAACGCCCCGGACCCCACGGGGGGGCAGAGGGGGGGAUAUUGCAAAAAGGGGGGAAGGCCGAUGCCGGCACCCCGCGUGGGGGAUGGAGGCCCUUGGGUUUUAAACCCCUUUCGCCCGUGGAGAAGGGGGGGGGGACGGAAAUGGGAAAAAAAGCCCCGCCAAACUCGUU